CGCUAUCACUCCUACGGGGAGGCAGCAGUGGGGAAUAUUGCACAAUGGGCGCAAGCCUGAUGCAGCCAUGCCGCGUGUAUGAAGAAGGCCUUCGGGUUGUAAAGUACUUUCAGCAGUGAGGAAGGUAGUGUAGUUAAUAGCUGCAUUAUUUGACGUUAGCUGCAGAAGAAGCACCGGCUAACUCCGUGCCAGCAGCCGCGGUAAUACGGAGGGGGUUAGCGUUGUUCGGAAUUACUGGGCGUAAAGCGCACGUAGGCGGAUCGGAAAGUUGGGGGUGAAAUCCCGGGGCUCAACCCCGGAACGGCCUCCAAAACUAUCGGUCUAGAGUUCGAGAGAGGUGAGUGGAAUUCCGAGUGUAGAGGUGAAAUUCGUAGAUAUUCGGAGGAACACCAGUGGCGAAGGCGGCUCACUGGCUCGAUACUGACGCUGAGGUGCGAAAGUGUGGGGAGCAAACAGGAUUAGAUACCCUGGUAG
rnacentral:rRNA from 1 species